AUUCGGUUAUUUUAAGUGGUAUAAAAAUGCCAGUUCUAAGAUAUAGGAAAAUAACAUAAGAGCCGGUUCUAAAACAAAGCAAUUUGCUGUUUUUGAAUCGGCACAAAUGUUAUUUCCUAUGUUUUCGAAUCGGCCAACGUUGAAUACCAACCAGCAGCAUCGUUGGUCAUCGUCGUCGUUGUCGUACGCGUGCCACAUAUUUUGGUGUGCGUUUGCGUGUGUUUAGUAUUAUGAACGAGGGGAGAGAUGUGAACGAACGAACGAGAGAAAGUGCAGUAUAUAUGUAUAAAAAUGCAUUACUCUUUCUCCUCUCUGUGUUAAGUUUCCCAACCUUCAGAUUGAAUAAGAUGAACAGAUGAAAGUAAUUUAACUGUAACGCGAACUUUUUUAUGCAUUUUAGUUGAUACAUUAGGAACACGCUUAGAUUUCCUAAAACUACGACGUAAUGUUCGUAGCGAAGACGCUUGCAGAUAUCAGUAAACCUAGUUUUACAAUUGGUCGCUUAUAAACUCCUGAUGUCGUCUUCAAGAUUACUGAUCUUACCAGGCCAUGAUCCCCAGGCAAUAUUUCUUGCACACCACUUAGUUUCCAUUUUAACGGCGACAAGUUUUCUUCCUUGACUAUUACUAAGUCACCCACAAUUAAAUUUUUAUUUUGCGUUAACCACUUAGAUCGAUUUAUAAAUGUAUCUAUAUAUUCCGCUUGCCAUCUUUCCCAAAAAUGCUGAAUCAUUUUUUGUAAAUGGUUCCAACGAUCUAAACGAUUUGUUGGAACUUUCCUGUAAUCCUGUUUGUUCGAAGUAUGAAUAAAACACGCAUCAGUUACCUCGUCUAUAUCCCUCUUUAGUAAUACACGAACUGAUUUUAAACUUGCUAACCGGUCGGCGAGAGAAAGUGGUUGUAGACUUUCAACUUCCUUUUUUAUUUCCUUUGCGCCAGCAGCUUCCUUGGUGGCGUCCUGUUCAGUCACCGUCAUUAUUCUCCCCUCAAGCAGUGCUUUAAUAUCAUCACGCAGUCCAGUAAUCUCUGUUUUCGUUGAUUCCCAUGUGGCAGCAGCGUGGUCCGGCACAUCGUCAAAGCUCGUCGAUUCCCAAACGGUGAUCGCGGUUUUCGCAGACUGGACCGCUUCGUCCAACUUCUUGUUCAACGCCUCGAGCGUGGCUGUAUUUAAGAAGUCCGGUGUUACUGCUUCUUUAAGCCUUUUCAGCGUAUCGAUCUCUUUGUCAGGAAUUCUAACUAAUGCUUCUCCUAUUAGAAAAUGACCCGGAGUUAAAACAUUGAGUGAAGUCGGAUCAUUAUUCAGUGCACACAAAGGUCUAGAGUUGACGCAUGCUUCCGCCUGGCACAAAACUGUAGAGAAUUCUUCAAAAGUUAGUGUCGUUUCGCCAAUUACCCUUAUAAGAUGAUGUUUCACGGAUUUAACUGCUGCUUCGUAGAUUCCUCCCUGGUGUGGAGCGCCUGGUGUAGUGAAAGUCCACUUGAAAUUGAAUUGCUCUUCCAUUUCUCCUGAUUUUUGUUCGAGCUGCUCUACAAUUGAUCGCAAGUAAUUAUUUCCUCCAACAAAAUUGGUACCAUUAUUCGAAAUGAUUCUUUUAACUGGAUGAAUACCGGGAAGAUGAAAUUUUCAGCAACUGUUUAAUAAAAAAAUACGAGACUUCUCUUGCUAAAUCUUGGAUUAUAUAAAGAUUGAAAAAUCGAAGAAUAAAUUCUUCUUACGAAUUCCUGUUCCCAUUGAUAUAUGCGCCAUGUUCAAUCAGAAAUUUAACAAUUUCCACAGAAUCUUAUUGGUGCAAUGUCUAACUGUGCUAUAAUCUAAAAAAUUAAAACGUGUAUCAUUUCUCAUCAUUAGUUAAAUGUACAUUAUUUAUGCAAAGGAGCUGUAAUACUCCUGUUCUGAUGAUUAUUUCUUUUCCGUUAACAAUGUUCAGAUUAACAUCACACAAAACGAUUAAAAUAUUAAAACAAACCGCAAUAUUUCCAAAGUUAAGUAUCUCAUAAAUGCUUCAACUUCGGAAAUAUUCAUAAAUAAGAAAAGUAGUAUAGAAUUAGCGUUUAUUCGGGAACCAGUUUUUUUGACCUCCCCAAAUAACCACUAAAUCUCAAUUAUCGUAAUUAUCUGUCAUAAGAGAGAGUGUAUGCGUUGUGGCGACUAAACUUUCCUACUCCAAAUCACCACUGUCCUACUCCAAAGUAACAUAGAGAUAAAGUAGGAAGAGAGAUAUUUAUCGGUAACGUAUAUAAGGAUAUGGUAUUAUUGUAUAAUUGUCUUCUCAACAAUAAUGAUCUAUAUUAUGAUAUGUUAAUGACACUUGUAUGCAUGCAAAAAGCGACGGUUACGAUUGCAUACAUUCAUUGCUAGAGAUUAUCGAAUGCGAACGAAAGAAAAAAGUAACAGAGAACGACAAAACAAUUGCGUGCCAAUGCACGGUAAUGGUAAAACGAUCGAUUGCAUGCAUUCUUUGCUUCGAAUGCGAUCGAAAGAAAGAAAGAAAGAAAAAAGGGAUGUUACAUCGAUGAAUACAUUCACAUUGCUUGUUACUAGAGAUGAAAUGUGCUCGUUAUUCACGUUGUUUGAAAUGUGAUUGCAUGAAAUGUUAUAUUGAAAUAUAUAAUUACAGUCACAUUUGAAGAAUAAGCAGAAGGCGAAACAGGAAAGCAGAGCGAAACCGAUGAGCAGUAUUAGGAUUUUGAUUUUGUUCUUUACGAUCGUCAUGAACAUUCUACCGAACCAUUUACCAACGUUGACACAAAACGAUGCAGGUUCCGCAUCUUCGCAGUGGAAAUAUAUUGAAACGCUGCUGCUGUCACUAUCCUCAUGAGUCUCCUCCUCCUGUUGUUGGGGUUUAAGACACGUUAUUUUUUGCAACUAUACACUUACACGUACGCACUUGCAAAUAAUCUUAUGCCAAAAUCACGCAUUUUCUUAAUGAAAGAAAUGUAUCUCUCUGAAUUCUGUGGUAUUAUCGUUAUUUCGCCUGGGGCUUCCUUGCUAGUUGCAAGUUUUUUAAUGAGUAAAUGUGAAUCAUAUCCGGAUAAAUUAUGCAUUACAACUGGAAUGGUUCGACUAAUUUGAUAUUGUAAAUUGCAUGAUUGAUGUGCGGCUCCUCUAUAGAGACCUGAUAUAUGACAAUAAUCUCUGACUCAAAUAUCCGAUUGUUCAUGAACAUCCCGAUCAAGGAAACUUUUUUUGCAUAUAUGACAAUUUGAUAUUCUAAAAUUCUUAUAAAUAUCUUUCUUCUUCUUCGGUCAAAGGAUUCAUCGGUUUUUUAUCCUCAAAAAAGUCAAAGACUUUAAUUGCAAUUUUUGUCAAUUCACUCAUAAACCAAUCAACGCAGUUUACUCCACGAUAACUCGCAUAGUAUGAUUUUGAUUCAUUGUUUUCAUAUUUGAAAUAAUAUCCAAUACUAUGUACUUCAUGAUGUUGAUGAGCGUGUGUUGAACAAUUGAUGUUAAAGACAGGCGUUUCAGGGUCCUUCAACAAAGCUUCAUUGUCUGCAUAUAUGAUGAAAGGUAUUUUAAGUUCAUUUUUGUAAUUUUUGAACGAUUCAAAGUUCUUUCCAACACUCGGCAUUUCAAUUGCACAUUCGUUCAUACUUUCAAAUGUUAUUUUAUGUUUUUUUAAUUUCUCAUGUGAAUUGAAAUGGAUCAAACAACGGUCGCAUAUCCAUUUUUUAUGCUCAUAUUUGCUCAUCUGCGAUCCCACUAGUUUACCCAAAUUUUUUUAUCCAGCAGUAAUGUGAAUGUGUACCUGCUUCAUGUACCUCUUUGCUGUGUGCGGGUGUUGCUUCUGUAAGCAUGAGCAAAUGAAUGUAAUGUUUUUCAAUCGGUUUCACAGCUAGAAAGCGAGGGCAUACACAUUUUUUUUCCGAAUCGAAAUAGUACACAUUAAUAGCAAUGUGCUCAUUCUGCUGCAUAAAUUUCUCAAUUUGAUUGAGUCGCACUGGGAAGUCGAUUCCGUUGAAAUUCAGUUCAUUUGCCCAGAAACGAUAACUUGCAGCAUCAUUCACUUUUUUCGGAUCUUCAGCAUACAUUUCAUUAUGAUGUAAAGCUGCUAAAAUUGACCAUUUGAAGCAUAAAUCGUAUGUAUUUUUCAAAUUCACGAUCGCUCUCUUGUUUUUCUAACAUUUUCGGUAGCUCAAUAAAUCCCGAACCUCGCAAUGGCUCAUAUUUAAACAUCUGUACACGCUAAUAACCGCUAAUUCUAUACUACUGAUGGGUUGUCGCCCUUCUUUGAAGUGGGCCAAAUAUUUUGGCCUCUUAGACAUGGGAAGAGCCUUCCAAAAUGCGACAUUUUGCGCCGUGCCGAACUGGGCUAUUUCGCGAUCGCUGGUGGACAGAGCUGGUGGAUCGCUGGUGUAAUUCAUGCUAUAAUGUAAGAAUGUAAGAGAAAGAUAAACACGAGUUGUUUUGUUGAGAGUUAAGUCAAGAGUGUCCUGCCUUUAUUCAUAUUCAUACAUUGUUAACUCGUAUGCACUCACGCACGCGGCUAGCGGCGCGUUCAUGCGCUACACUUCCCUUCUUUCUGAAGAAAGAAAAGUGUAUUACAAUAUGUUAGCGUUUUACAAUUUUCUAUCUCAUUUUUUCCCUUCACCGUUUUUAUUUUUUUUAAUCAUUUAUUUGACAUGUUUUUAAGUGCUAUUAUCUGUGCCAUUCUUGUUUAGUUUCUUGUGUUCGCCUCGACUCAUUUUAUUUUGUAUUUAUUGUUUAUGCAUUUUUUUCACAAAUUUGAAUUCUUUGUGUCUUUUCUUAUUUGUAUUUCGCUGUGUAUAACAUUGUGAUUCAAUCUAUUGACGCUAACAAAUAAAUUCAAUGAAUUUUUUUCAAUUAUUGCUGUUUUAAUUUUGUUUUUUUUUGCAUUUAUUCAAAGCAUCAAAUAUUUUCUAUUGGCGAAAUUUAUUAAAUUCUAUUCAAUUGCAUUCACUUAUGCGAUCGCAAUGGCCAUCUCUUAUCAAUACACAGUAAGAAAUAGUAGCAAUCAUUUCAUAAUAUUAACACAGCUACGAUACACAACCACCAAAUCGACACUUGUUGAAUAAUUUUCUGUUUCAAUCCUCUCUUUUAUCAAGUUUGCCCAAUCGUUUGCGCGAACUGCUUUUAAUGCGCAACAGAAACCAUAUCUGGUUAACUCUUCCAUAUCCUCGAUAAAAACUGCAAAGCUAUGACGUGGAAAUCCCCAGUAGUCCGAAUCGUAGUCAGAGCCGAAGUAGUCCGAAUCGUAGUCAGAGCUGUGAUCACUCAUAAUGCUGCCAAAUAAUUUUUUUUAACUGCUCUCGUCAAAUGAAUAAUAACUUAGCUGAAAUAAAUUUUGAAUUAAAAAUUCCAAAUCUUUUCAUUUCGGCUCAUUCAAUUUUCAAUGAUAACACGAAGUUUGGCGUGAUAAACGCCGGCUGUUAUCAUUUAAACUGGAUGAAUACCGGGAAGAUGAAAUUUUCAGCAACUGUUUAAUAAAAAUACGAGACUUCUCUUGCUAAAUCUUGGAUUGUAUAAAGAUUGAAAAAUCGAAGAAUAAAUUCUUCUUACGAAUUCCCGUUCCCAUUGAUGCGCCAUGUUCAAUCAGAAAUUUAACAAUUUCCACAGAAUCUUAUUGGUCCUCGUCAUCGCUUGAAAUAUAUAUUUCCUCCAGUUGCUGUAACUUGCUUGAAACACCAGGCACUGGUAGAUUUAUUUCCUGCUCUUGUUUCACUGGUGAUUCCGCGAAAAUUUUCGCGGGUUUUGGCAUAAUACCCGCGCCAGAAAUUGUGUUUUGAAAGAAAUUUCGGGCGGUCAUUCUUGUUUAUUUCUUGGUAUUUUUGCUCGAAGUCGUUUUUCAAUAGUGACCACUGCUGUGCAGCAAUUUCGCUCGCCUGUUCCGAACACUCUGGUUUACCUUUUGUAAAUUGCUCUAAUUCCCGCAAAUUUUUAAAGAAUUCCGCUCUUUGCGUUUCGAACUCGUUUGAGAUACUCAUUGUAUUUUAAAAAUUGAAACGUGUAUCAUUUCUUAUCAAUAGUAAAAUGUACAUUAUUCAUGCAAAGGAGCUGUAAUACAACAAAACAAUGUUCAGAUUAACAUCACACAAACGAUUAAAAUAUUAAAACAAACCGCAAUAUUUCCAAAGUUAAGUAUCUCAUAAAUGCUUCAACUUCGGAAAUAUUCAUAAAUAAGAAAAUAAAAUGCAUUACUUUUAUCGUGAGACAUACGUAACUAUUAAUACAUAGGAAUUGUACAUACACUGUAUAAUCAAUUUUAAAACAUGUUGCUUACACUAAGAAAUUCUAUUUUAUCGAGUCUUACUCUUUUUUUUUCUUCAAAAAGUCAAAUUUUUUUUUGUUAAAAACUAUUUGCUCAGUCUAUGAAACAAACCAAUUUGAUUAAUUGUUAAGGUAUGCUUUCGGCUUAUAGAAAAAUAGCCAUUUUCUGUAAAAGGCAAUCAACACACUCACUCUUUGAUUGAUAUUCAGAAGAGAAUAAAUUGAGAAUAAAAAUGUAAGAAAAAGUCAGGAAAAAAAUGAUAGAAAAUUGCCAUCGACGAUCAUUAGUGUCGAAAUUUGUGAGGUUGUGUGUUCUUUUUUUUUAAAUUGGUUGUCAUUGCAAUGGAAUGCCAACACAAUAAAAUCAAAAAUCGCAUGUCUGUAUAAUAUUAAACGCAUUCAAUAUAACGCGACACUAGCAAUCGUCGAUAGGUAUUGUAUCAAUCAUUAGUUAAGAGCAUAAAUUUAAGAAAAGCGAACACGCAGCAGAGAUCUUCACAUGUUAAAAGCAACUUAGCGGCAUAGCAUGGAACGGCACAUCUUUUGGUGUUCAGUUUGGUCAAAAUAACAGAGCUAAAAGAUUUGACCACGUCGGAAAUACAUCACUCAGCGAAUGGCACCUAAAAUAUUGUUCUUCGCUUUGUAUCAACACAAAAAUUAGCAAAACUUCGGAAAAAUACUAGAAAAUAGAGAAGGCGCUUUGGUUCACAACAUCUUUUGAACGAUGAGUCCCAUUUAAGUCUUCAAUCGAACAAUAGUUUAUUAACAACGCAAAAAUGCCCCAAGAACAAACAUCCCAUGAUGACCAAAUAUUAAUAAAAAUCCCAUGAUUGCCUUUGAUAUGACUCGACUCAGAAAUUUCCUGGAGAAAUAAUCACAAACAAAAAAAUGCUAUGUGUUCCUGGGUCCCUUGCGACCAUAAUACGUAAAUUUGGUCAAGUCGUCGAUAGGACAUUCGAAUUGUACGCGUACAAAUUAUGUGCGUAUUGUCAUCGAUGUCUAGAAGUACUCUGAUGAUGUGUACGAGUUAAGAAACAACACAAAUUCAGCCAAUCAACAUACUGUUCCUUUGGACAUAUCGCGAAUAUCCUGUACCACUCUUUAUAUCACUUCAAAUUUGAUCCAGAAUCUGGAUGCCAGAUUUCAAGCCGAAUGAUACUAAACCGAUCCAAACCGACUGAGAAAGGAAAUGAACAAGAAAGACAUGGUUUGGAUUGAAUUUGCAACGAUUCAGAUGAAUUGUUUGCAAACGUGCAGAAGACGUCACAACGAUUAGAUGCAUCAGACUAUCAUGCACUAAUGUGACAGUCUACACUUUGCUGUUUUAUCAUCGAUUUGAUGAAAGCGCCUCAAUUUAUAACCUUCUUCAGAAAUAAUCAAUCGAAGACAGGUAGAUGAGACAAGGGAUUCCCGACAGAAAACUGAACACUAUUUCAUUAAUUGAUGGAAGCCGCUAAUUCAUUUUCCUUGCCAAAACAACGACGUGCGAUUUAAUGAACCAAAAGCUACAAACACCUGAAGUGCUCGACCAUCGGCUGUAAUUUCUCUUCAAAUUAGUAGUUUCAGAAGUUGAAAUAAAAACUUAAAUAAUUUUAUAAUGAAUUAAAUUUUUGUUCAGAUUUUUCAAUUUAGGGUUUUUGUUCUCGAAAAAAAAGAAUCAAUUGUAUGAAGAAUUUGAAAAAUCUGAACAAUGUCUCGAUGUGUGAACAAACAAUAGAAUUAUCUCAAAUAAGGCAAAAUUAAGUCAAUGGAAUGACACUAUAAAAUCCAUUGCUAAAUAAAAAAUUCAACUGAUUAUUACUUUCAAUUCAGACAAAACCACCUGCUUAUUGUCAGAUUUUGAACAAUUGUAGAGCGUCAUCAAUAAUAGACGGCAAAAUCAUCUGUAAAUAGCCGUAAAUGAUUUCGAUCAUUCGACAUAUUGUGAAAUGUUGCGAAAGCACACCAAUCAGUACUGAAUUUUGUCAUCAUUUAUGGACGGCGCUCUACAAUUUCACACUUUGUAUUUUGUAUGUAUUCAAUACAAGAUUAUAUGCGUGUGGACAAACCAAUAAAGCUACUAUUUCCAAGCCGAACGAUCGCAAUUAUUAUAAUCGGUUACAAUCUUCUAAAAGAAUGGCCAAUGGCCAUGGAUCACGUUUUCUUGAAAAUAGUACUUUUCCAUAGAAAUCAGAUAGAGUUAAAGAUAGCAAAAUAUUAACAUAAAAUGUAUAAGUAUAUUAGAAUAUAAGAGAAAAGAUAAGAAGGACAAUUACAUUCUCAAACAAUGAAUGGUUGAAUGAAAAUUGUCAAUUGCCACACUCUUGAGCAUAGAGCUAAUUGGACCGAGAAAAAACUAUCGGCAAAUAUAAUUCUUAAGAGAUGUUAAUAAUAUGAUCGGGCUCAAGUUGAGAAAAAUGAAAAAAAAAAUUACAUUUUGUUGAAUGUUCAUUGUAAGAUGAUUGACUUUUGUAAAUAAAGACUGAGAUUUUUCAUUUUACGAA